AUCUUGUCUUCUUUUGUUUUCUGAGAAACAAUCAAUCUUUGUUCCCUUCUUCCUUCCCCCCCACCAACCUCCUUUGGUUCAUGCCUUCAUCCAACAGAUGCUUUCUGACUGCGGGGAGCCUUCUAGGCUCUGGAUUGUGCUAGAAUGUGCCUAUUGGAAAAGUGGGCAGGUUGGCCUCGGGAUGCUAAGAGAAAAGUACACCUCUGCACGGAGGGCCAGGGGAGAGCUACGGAGGAACGACUUCCAACUGAGAGAUGGUAAUAUGGGAGUUUUCAUCAGCCCUGCCCUGCACUUCUGCCACCCCACCCCCCCAAGCCUGUUUAGCCUGUGGGGCACUGCAUCAGAUGCAAGGUGCAGGACAAAAAGCAUCCUCUUGUUCAGCAGACCGAUGAGCCGUGAAUUGGAACAAUGGAGGAAGGGGGAUGUGGUUUCCCUCAGCCAGAGAUCUUGUUGCCACUCUCCCUGCCACCCUCGACACCCCCUCACAAGAUGUGCCAAUUUUAAUUCUAAUACUGAAGGUAGACACGGAGCAGGCAACUGGCAUCGGUU
rnacentral:lncRNA from 1 species